AACCUUUACACUGCACGACAGUGCGAUAAGGGAAUCCCAAGUGCGUAGGCAUAGAGCCUACGCUUUUGUCCACCGUAGGGAGGUGGACGAAUAAGGGCUGGGCAAGACCGGUGCCAGCCGCCGCGGUAAUACCGGCAGCCCGAGUGAUGGCCGAUCUUAUUGGGCCUAAAGCGUCCGUAGCUGGCCGCGCAAGUCUAUCGGAAAAUCCACCCGCUCAACGGGUGGGCGUCCGGUAGAAACUGCGUGGCUUGGGACCGGAAGGCGCGACGGGUACGUCCGGGGUAGGAGUGAAAUCCCGUAAUCCUGGACGGACCGCCGAUGGCGAAAGCACGUCGCGAAGACGGAUCCGACAGUGAGGGACGAAAGCUAGGGUCUCGAACCGGAUUAGAUACCCGGGUAGUCCUAGCCGUAAACAAUGCCUGCUAGGUGUGGCUCCCACUACGAGUGGGUGCUGUGCCGUAGGGAAGCCGCUAAGCAGGCCGCCUGGGAUGUACGUCCGCAAGGAUGAAACUUAA
rnacentral:rRNA from 1 species